CCUACGGGAGGCAGCAGUGGGGAAUCUUGCACAAUGGGGGCAACCCUGCUGCAGCGACGCCGCGUGCGUGAAGAAGUAUUUCGGUACGUAAAGCUCUAUCAGCAGGGACGACAAUGCCGGUACCUGACUAAGUCGCCCCGGCUCACUACGGUCCCGCAGCCGCGGUACUAAGUAAGGGGCAAGCGUUAGCCGGAUUUACUGGGGGUGAAGGGAGCGUAGACGGCAGCGCAAGUCUGGCGGGAAAUCCCAUGGGUUAACCAUGGAACUGCUUUGGAAACUGUGCAGCUGGAGUGAAGGAGAGGUAAGCGGAAUGCCUAGUGUAGCGGGGAAAUGCGUAGAUAUUAGGAGGAACACCAGUGGCGAAGGCGGAUUACUGGACUGUAACUGACGUUGAGGCUCGAAAGCGUGGGGAGCAAACAGGAUUAGAUACCCUGGUAGUC
rnacentral:rRNA from 1 species